rnacentral:rRNA from 1 species
AUUGCACGCUGGCGGCAUGCUUUACACAUGCAAGUCGAACGAGUUGCGAACGGGUGAGUAAUAUAUCGGAACGUACCGAGUAAUGGGGGAUAACCACUCGAAAGAUUGGCUAAUACCGCAUAUUAUUCGAGCGGCCGAUAACUGGUUAGCUAGUUGGUGGGGUAAAGGCCUACCAAGGUGACGAUAAGUAGCGGGUCUGAGAGGACGUUACGCCACACUGUGACUGAGACACUGCCAAGACUCCUACGGUAGGCAGCAGUGGGGAAUUUUGGACAGUGGGGGCAACCCUGAUGAAGCCAUGCCGCGUGUAUGAAGAAGGCAUUCGGGUUGUAAAGUACUUUUGUUAGGGAAGCGGUACCUAAAGAAUAAGCACCGGCUAACUACGUGACAGCAGCCGCGGUAAUAC